UGCGCCAGUAGCUCAGCCGGAUAGAGCAUGUGCCUUCUAAGCACAGGGCCGGGGGUUCGAGUCCCUUCUGGCGCGA
rnacentral:tRNA from 1 species